rnacentral:rRNA from 1 species
GAUGAACGCUGGCGGCGUGCCUAAUACAUGCAAGUCGAGCGAACAGACGAGGAGCUUGCUCCUCUGACGUUAGCGGCGGACGGGUGAGUAACACGUGGAUAACCUACCUAUAAGACUGGGAUAACUUCGGGAAACCGGAGCUAAUACCGGAUAAUAUAUUGAACCGCAUGGUUCAAUAGUGAAAGACGGUUUUGCUGUCACUUAUAGAUGGAUCCGCGCCGCAUUAGCUAGUUGGUAAGGUAACGGCUUACCAAGGCAACGAUGCGUAGCCGACCUGAGAGGGUGAUCGGCCACACUGGAACUGAGACACGGUCCAGACUCCUACGGGAGGCAGCAGUAGGGAAUCUUCCGCAAUGGGCGAAAGCCUGACGGAGCAACGCCGCGUGAGUGAUGAAGGUCUUCGGAUCGUAAAACUCUGUUAUUAGGGAAGAACAAAUGUGUAAGUAACUAUGCACGUCUUGACGGUACCUAAUCAGAAAGCCCCGGCUAACUACG